UAGGCAUGUAUUUAAUGCGGGUGAAUGACGUUAAUUUGGCCGUUUAGCUUGCAUGCGAAAUCAUUCUCCAUCGAAGAAUACAUUCGCUGAGCUCUGUUCAAAGAAUUCAUGAUUUUUCUGAAAUGGAAACAUUU
rnacentral:misc_RNA from 1 species